UACGAAGGGGCUAGCGUUGCUCGGAAUCACUGGGCGUAAAGGGUGCGUAGGCGGGUCUUUAAGUCAGAGGUGAAAUCCCGGAGCUUAACUUCGGAACUGCCUUUGAUACUGGGUGUCUUGAGUGUGAGAGAGGUAUGUGGAACUCCGAGUGUAGAGGUGAAAUUCGUAGAUAUUCGGAAGAACACCAGUGGCGAAGGCGACAUACUGGCUCAUUACUGACGCUGAGGCUCGAAAGCGUGGGGAGCAAACAGG
rnacentral:rRNA from 1 species